GUGGACUCUCAAGCGUGAGGUAAGGGCAACUGGUGGAUGCCUUGGCAUGUACAGGCGAUGAAGGACGUGGCACGCUGCGAUAAGCGUGGGGGAGCCGUGAGCAGGCAUUGAUCCCACGAUUUCCGAAUGGGGCAACCCGGCUUCACCAAUUAUCCUGCUCGUGAGCGAUCACGAGCUGGGUAAUUGGAGAGAAGUCAUCACCGAGGUGAAUACAUAGCUUUGGUGAAGCGAACCCGGAGAACUGAAACAUCUCAGUACCCGGAGGAAAAGACAUCAACCGAGAUUCCGUUAGUAGUGGCGAGCGAACGCGGACCAGGCCAGUGCUCAUCAUUCAAGUAGCAGAACCGAUUGGAAAGUCGGACCAUAGUGGGUGACAGUCCCGUAUGCGAAACUGAUGUGAUGAGACUUGAGUAGGGCGGGGCACGUGAAACCCUGUCUGAACAUCGGGGGACCACCCUCGAAGCCUAAAUACUCGUACAUGACCGAUAGCGAACUAGUACCGUGAGGGAAAGGUGAAAAGCACCCCGAUGAGGGGAGUGAAACAGUACCUGAAACCGGUUGCCUACAAGCAGUGGGAGCAUCCUUGAGAUGUGACCGCGUACCUCUUGCAUAAUGGGUCUGUGACUUAGUGUAUCGAGCAAGCUUAAGCCGUUAGGUGUAGGCGAAGCGAAAGCGAGUCUGAAUAGGGCGAUUGAGUUCGAUGCAUUAGACCCGAAACCCGGCGAUCUAGGCAUGACCAGGUUGAAGGUGGGGUAACACCCACUGGAGGACCGAACCGAUUAAUGUUGAAAAAUUAUCGGAUGAGUUGUGUUUAGGGGUGAAAGGCCAAUCAAGCCGGGAAAUAGCUGGUUCUCCGCGAAAUCUAUUGAGGUAGAGCCUCGAGUGAAUACCAUGUGGGGUAGAGCACUGGAUGGGCUAGGGCGGCGCGAGCUGUACCAAACCUAACCAAACUCCGAAUACGCAUGAGUACUACUCGGGAGACAGACGGCGGGUGCUAAGGUCCGUCGUCAAAAGGGAAACAGCCCUGACCAACAGCUAAGGUCCCCAAGUCACGUCUAAGUGGGAAAGCAUGUGGGAUUUCCAAAACAACCAGGAGGUUGGCUUAGAAGCAGCCAUCCUUUAAAGAAAGCGUAACAGCUCACUGGUCUAAACAAGAGAUCCUGCGGCGAAAAUGUAACGGGGCUCAAGACGUGCACCGAAGCUUUGGGUUCGACAUUAGUCGAGCGGUAGCGGAGCGUUCCGUACGCCUGUGAAGCGGUCUGGUAAUGGGCCGUGGAGGUAUCGGAAGUGCGAAUGCAGACAUGAGUAGCGAUAAAGAGGGUGAGAUGCCCUCUCGCCGAAAGACCAAGGGUUCCUGCUUAAAGCUAAUCUGAGCAGGGUGAGCCGGCCCCUAAGACGAGCCCGAAGGGGGUAGUCGAUGGGAACCACGUUAAUAUUCGUGGGCCUGGUGGUGUGUGACGGAUGGCGUGUGUUGUACGAUCUUAUCGGAUUGAUCGUGCCUCGAAGCUGUCCCAGGAAAUAGCCCCACCGUAUAGACCGUACCCGAAACCGACACAGGUGGUCUGGUAGAGUAUACCAAGGCGCUUGAGAGAAGUGUCCUGAAGGAACUCGGCAAAUUGCCUCCGUACCUUCGGAAGAAGGAGG
rnacentral:rRNA from 1 species